CAUAACAGUGAUGAUGACCGC
rnacentral:siRNA from 1 species